UGGAAUCGCUAGUAAUCGCAGGUCAGCAUACUGCGGUGAAUACGUUCCCGGGUCUUGUACACACCGCCCGUCACACCAUGGGAGUCGGAAAUGCCCGAAGCCGGUGACCCAACCCGAAAGGGAGGGAGCCGUCGAAGGCAGGUCGGAUGACUGGGGUGAAGUCGUAACAAGGUAUC
rnacentral:rRNA from 1 species